AUUGAACGCUGGCGGCAUGCCUUACACAUGCAAGUCGAACGGCAACAUGAUCUAGCUUGCUAGAUUGAUGGCGAGUGGCGAACGGGUGAGUCGUACAUCGGAACUUGCCCUGUAGUGGGAGAUAACUAGACUAAAGAUUAGCUAAUACAUCAUCCGACGUGAGCGGGGAAGUUUGGGACCUCAAGGCCUCAUGCUGUAGGAUCGGGCGAUGUCUGAUUAGCUAGUUGGUGAGGUAAAGGCCCACCAAGGCGACGAUCAGUAGCUGGUCUGAGAGGACGAUCAGCCACACUGGGACUGAGACACGGCCCAGACUCCUACGGGAGGCAGCAGUGGGGAAUUUUGGACAAUGGGCGAAAGCCUGAUCCAGCAAUGCCGCGUGUGUGAAGAAGGCCUUCGGGUUGUAAAGCACUUUUGUCCGGAAAGAAAUGGCUCUGGUUAAUACAUGGGGUUGAUGACGGUACCGGAAGAAUAAGGACCGGCUAACUACGUG
rnacentral:rRNA from 1 species